CGGAGGCUACCGCUAUUGGAGUUCGAUUAAGCCAUGCGAGUCGCGAGUCUUAGGGACUCGGCGUACCGCUCAGUAACACGUGGGUAACCUGCCCUAUGCUGGGGAAUAACCUCGGGAAACUGAGAAUAAUGCCCAUAGUUCACCACGCCUGGAACGGUGGGUGGAUCAAAGCUCCGGCGGCAUAGGAUGGGCCUGCGGCGUAUCAGGUCGUAGGGGGUGUAAUGUACCCUCUAGCCAUCGACGCGUACGGGUGUUGGGAGACAUUGCCCGGAGAUGGAUUCUGAGACACGAAUCCAGACCCUACGGGGUGCAGCAGGCGCGAAAACUUGGCAAUGCGAGAAAUCGUGACCAGGGAACUCCAAGUGCAUCGGGUAAGACCGAUGCUUUUCUUGACUCUUCAACGGUCUUGGAAUAAGGGGUGGGUAAGGACGGUGCCAGCCGCCGCGGUAAUACCGGCGCCUCAAGUGGUAGUCGCUUUUAUUGGGCCUAAAACGUCCGUAGCCGGUUUGGUACAUUCGUGGGUAAAUCAAGGCGCUCAACGUCUUGAAUUCUGCGAGCACGGCCAGACUUGGGACCGGGUGAGGUGUGGGGUACUCUCAGGGUAGGGGUAAAAUCCUGUCAUCCUGAGAGGACCACCUGUUGCGAAGGCGCCACACUAGAACGGAUCCGACGGUCAGGGACGAAGCCUAGGGGCACGAACCGGAUUAGAUACCCGGGUAGUCCUAGGUGUAAACGCUGUGGACUUGAUGUUGGGAGUGCUCCGAGCACCCUCAGUGUCGAAGCGAAGGUGAUAAGUCCACUGCCUGGGGAGUACGGUCGCAAGGCUGAAACUUAAAGGAAUUGGCGGGG
rnacentral:rRNA from 1 species